UGUUGUUGGUUUCAGCACCCUAGCUGGGCAGCUGUGUGCCCAGGAGCAGGUCUCGGCACAGCGGGACGAGCCCUAUGCAGGUGUGAGGCAGGCACAAGGCAGGGGCAACAUGCAAGGUCCUAGCUAGCCAGGCCAAGGCAGAGGACACUCACCAGAGAGCCAAGCCUGCGCUUUCCAAGGGGUCCUGUGUUCUGGCCAAACAUGAGCACCGACUACAGCAAGUCCAGUGACCCGGACUCCGCCGAGCAGUCCCCACUGGGGCUGGCCACCGCGAUCCAGAGGUUAGAGGACACCAUCCUGAGCCCCACAGCGAGCAAGGAAGACCGGGCACUUACCAUGCGUGGGGAAGGGCAGCAGGCCUCGCCCACCCCUGUGCCUGCCCGCAUCCGCGAGAUCGUGACUGGCAGCCUGGGUGGGGAGCCAACCCCAGAGGUGCAGGAGCUGCCUGCUGCUGUGGCCCGAGUGCAGGAGGAGAGUGAGCUGCUGCUGCAGGAGGAGCUGGCCCGGCUGGAGGGUCUAUUGGCCCAGGCAGGUGCUGAGCGACAGGAGCUGGCUAGCCGGUGCCAUGCAGUCAGCGAGCACCUGCAGGCCCGGCUGGAGACUACCGAAGCACGGCUGCGGAGGUCGGAGCUAGAGCACAGUAUAGACUUGGAGGAGGCCCUGGGCCGCCUGGAGGCCUCAGAGCAGAGGAGCACCAGCCUCGCCCAGGUGAAUGCCCUCCUGCGAGGACAGCUGGGACACAUGCAGAAAGCCAACGACAAGCUGGCUCAGGAGUUGGCCAGGGCGGCGGGCUGCGUGGUCCACCUGCAGCGACAGCUGGAGCUGAGGGAGGCUCGACGCUGGGUGAAACCAAAGACCUGGUCACCAGGACCCAGGGAGCCCCGGGACUUGCUCCAUCUGUGGAGACAGGCUGUGGCGCUGCGGGCACAGCAGGCAGAGCUGCGGGCAGCCACUGAGAGGAGUCUUGCAGACAUGCGAGCAAACGCAGCCAGGACGGCCCGGCACCUGCACGUGGCCUGCCUGAACCUUGACUCCAAUCUGCGGCUGGCAGCCGACCACACAGCCAGUGCCCUGGAACAGCGGCUGGGGGAGCAGAUCCGAGAGACACUGCAGCUGCAGGGCCGCUGGGAUGCGGAGAAGGUGGCACUCCAGGCCAGGCUCUCUGAGCAGACGCUACUGGUGGAGAAGCUCACAGUGCAGAGCGAGCAGAGGGAGAGGAAAAUUGCAUCCCUCAAGCUGGAUGUCCAGAGACUGGAAUCUGGGCGGCACAGCGGGGACCAACUGGUUGAGGACACCCUGCGGGCUGAGAUUGCAUCCCUGCAGGCUGAAGUUGAUUCCCUGCAAAGCGUCCUGACCAACAUUGGGAAGGUGGCCCAGGCAGACACCAGGAGUCCAGAGCAGCCAAGGAGUGUCAGUACCAACGGCAAGGAAGUGCAAGGCCAACAGAGAAGCCCCCACCACAGCCUGUCCCCACCACGGGCUUGCUCCCCAACCAGCCUGGACCCCACACUGCAGGCAGUGCAGGCAGCUAUGGAGAGGCGACAGCAGCGAGAGCAGGAGCUGCAACGGCAGCUGGAGUCCUCUCUGGCAGUGGCCGCUGGGCUCCGAGAGCAGCUGUCAGCAUGCAGGCAGGAGCUGCAGGCCUCACAGAGGCUCCUGCAGGAUGGGAUACAGGAGCGUGAGGGCCUCCUGGGCCAGUUGGAGGUGCAGAGGCAUGAGGCGCAGCACUGCCAGAUAUCUGUGGAACUCUUGCGAAGGGAGAAGGUGGCCCUGGAUCGGGAGGUGGAGGAAUUGAGAGGGGCGGCAGGCAACCAGGACACAGAGAGGCAGAGGUUGGCAGCAGCCAACGCAGCACUGCGCAGGAGCAUGGUGCUGCAAGCAGAGCAGAGCCAGGGGCACCUGCAGCGGCUGGAGGAGAAGGUCUCCAGACUCAGGAAGGAACUGGCGUUGGCCCGGGAGGCACUGAGCAUGGCACAGCUGCAAAGGGACUCUGCGGAGAGCGAGCGGGAGGGCUUGCGUGGUACCCUGGCCCGGGCCGAGUCCAGUAAUGCUGACCUGGAGCUGCUAGUGACACAGCUGAAGUCAGAGGGAGUGGAACAGCGGGACUCACUGGCCACCAUGGCUGCCCUGAUGGAAGAACUGGCCCAGGACAAAGGCUCCCUGAACCACCUGGUGCUCCAGCAGCUGGAGCGGGAGCGAGACCAGUUGCAGGAGCAGAGGACAGCACUGGAACGGGAGCAGGUGGGCGCUGGGCAGGAGCUGGCACAGGUGGAGCAGCAAUUGGAGCAAGUGUGGGCUGAGCGGAGAGAUCUGCAGGAUGCCUGUGGGCGCCUGGAGAAGCAGCAGGAGCAGCUGGAGAAGCAAGUGGCCCAGCUCAGCCGUGAGAGGGCCCAGCUCCAGAAGCAGGUGGGCCAGGUCACAUGCAAGAAACAGGCCUUGGAGGAGCAGCUGGCACAGAGCCUAUGGGACCAGGAGGUCCAGAGGGACACCCUGCAGCAAGCCCUGCAGGAGAAGGAUGCUUUGUCUGAGGAGCGAGCCCAGCUGCUGGCCAAGCAGGAGGCCCUGGAGAGGCAGAGCCAGCUCACAGCAGAGGAGGCAGCUGAUCUCAGGGUCCAGAGGGACUCCCUGGAGAGUGGCCUCUUUGAGGCCCAACAACUGGUGGCACAGCUGCAGGCCAAGCAGAAGCAGCAAGAGGAGGAGGCCCGGAGGGCCCAGCUGGCUCACCAGGCCCUGCAAGGGAAGAUGGAACAGCUGAAAAGCAACUGGGAGGCACAGGAGACAAGGCUGCGAUGGGAUGUGGGGCGGCUGCAGAGCCAGGUGGUUCAACAGGAGCAGGACAUGCAGCUGGCUCUGGAGAGCCAGGCAAUAACCCACCAGGAGGACCUAGCUCAGCUCCAGAGGGAGAAGGAGGCCCUGAGUCUGAGCCUGGCAGAGGAGAAGGAGGCGGCUGCACAGCAGCGGAAGCAGGGGAAGGAGCUAUUGGCGAAAUGCUCAGCUGACAGGGAAGCUCUGGAGGAGGAAAUUCAGAACCUGAAGCAGGAGCGGGAUGACAGCCUCCUCCGGCUGGAGCACAAGAUGCAGCAGGCCCUGUGUGUGAAGGACACAGAGAGGAGCCAGCUGUACGAGGAGCUCUCCAGGGUCAAACAGGAGCUGGAGCGGGUGCAACAGGGGGCCCAGUGCCAGCAGACUCAUGCUGAGGCCACCAUCAGCACCCUGACCGAGGAGCUGAGGACACUGCAGGCCCAGUUCAAGGGUACCAUCUCUGCCCAUCAGCAAGAGGUUAGUGCCCUGAGAGAGACCCUCUGGAGGACAGCAGCUCAGCGGGGCGACCUACAGAGAGAGGCCAAGAGGCUGCAGGCCCAGCUGAGUGAGGCCCAGGAAGCACUGGCCAGGCUGCACCGGGAGCUGCAGGGCAGUGAGGAGAGCUGUGAGGGGCUGCGCAGGGAGGCCCUGGAAGCCCGCCAGGCGCUGGGCGCUGAGGCCCGUGAAAAGGACGCACUGAAAUACUCCAACACAGAGCUGCGGGCCGCCCUCUACAGGGUCGAGCAGAACAAGGCCAGUUUAAAGCGGGCCAAGGAUGAACAGGAGCGGAAGCUGCAAGCACUGAAUGAGGUCCGGGCGGCAGCCCAGGAGGAGGCCAGUGAGCUCCGGGCCAGGCUACAGGAGUGGGCACAGGCACAGGGGGAAGCCCAUCGGGAGCUGCAGGAGUGCCGCAUACAGGUGAGGACCCUGGAAGUUGAGAACCAGAGGCAGAGCAGAGAGGUGAGCGCCCUGCAGGCCCAGUGUGCACAGGAUGCCCAGCAACGGCAACAGAGCCAGAGGGAGGUGCUGCAGCUGCAGAAGCAGGUGGCAGAGAAGGAGGCUGCCCACAAGGGUGCCCAGAAGGAGGUCCUGAGGCUGCAGCAGAAGCUGGCGGAGGCCAAGGCCACAGGUGAAGCCCAGGCAGGGCAGCUGAAGGGGCUGCUGGCUGAGCACCAGGAGGCCGAGCACGCCUUGCGUGCUGAGCUCCGUGGUGUCACCAGGAGGCUGCAGCAGGCCAGCAGCCGGGCAGACAGCCUGCAGGGCAGCCUGGAUAACACCCGCAGCCGGGUGCACAGCCUGGAGCGGGAGCUGGCCAAGGCCGAGGCUGCUGAGCGGCAUGUGAAGACCCAGCUGGGCCGGCUGUGCUCUGUGCUGCGCCGUGGCCUGGGGCUCCGGAGUCAGAGCCCAGCAGUCUCCCCACAGCAAUCUGGCUUCCCAGAGAGAGGUUUCUACAGUGUCCAGCAGCAGCAGGAUGCCAGCCCCAUUGCUAGGCCCCAUUCACCACCACGGUGGCCAUCACCUGCGCCUGGAGACCAUGACCCAGAAGUUAUGGAUGUGGCCUCUUUGCAGGACGCCCUGGGGGACUUCCUGCAGAAGUUUCAGGAUGCCCAGCGGGACCGAGACAACUGCUGUGUCCAGGUGACCAGUCUGAGUGCCAGGCUGUGUGUGGCAGAGGAUGAGCGUACCCAGGCCCAGGACCAUGUACAGCAGCUGCAGAGGGCACUGGCUGAGGCCAAGGAAGGCCAGCGUCAGGCAGAGAGGGCACUGGACAGCGCCCAGGCAGCACAGGCCCUGCAGAAGGAGGCACUCCUGAGGCUGGAGACAGAGCACCUGGCCAGCACUCGGGCAGCAGCCCAAGACAGGCGGCAGCUGCAGAUGGAGACCUGGAGGGCACAGGGCAGAGAACAGUGCCCUCUCUGAAGUAGAAGCCAGCGCUCCACUUGUCUGAAGCUCAGAGAUGUCAUCCAGGCAUUGAUUUGGGGCAGGUUCCCCUGCGGACCUUUCCCUCUCCACCCCAGAACCACUUUCUCCCUUCUCAGGGCCCUUUGCCCUGGAAUUCCCAGCCUUCCAAACCGAACCCCAGGCCUGUGCCCUGGGCCUGUCUUGUAUGUCUUCCUCCCCGCAUCCCCCAGGUUUGAGAAGACACUGUCUUUAUCGUGCCCAGCAGCUCUGAUUGUCAGCUGCAUCUUACUUGCUUUUUGUGAGACCUUGUUAAUACUCAAGUGUUUUUCUCAGAUGGUCCACUCCAACCCUGAGAACCCUGGUUCUGUCUCUGUUAACAAUUCUCUUUUCACUGGAAACUUAGAUCUGCCUCCUCGACAGCCUCUCUUCUGUGGUGCUUUCCCCUCACCCAUGCCAAAAGCAGGGUGUUCUGAUCCUGACAACAGGCAGGGUAGAAGGAGCCAUCUGGACUUCAGUGGUCCUGUUGAGACAGGCCCAAAGAAGAACAGAAUGAGAGUCCUCAUUCUGCAUCCAGUGUCUGGGGUCUUUUGGUUCUCAGCCACAGGGACCUGUCAGGCCCUGAGGGGUAGAGCUGCCCACUUUCCCAAGCCCAGCUCCCAGGGGUUCUGGGGUCCCCUGAGGUGUGCCCCCCACAGGCAUAGGGGCUGCCUUAGGGUACAUGUGGCUGAAGUGAACUGGGACUGCUUAGAUAUUCUUUGCUCCAUGUUGAAUUUACUUGCUUGUUUAGUGAUGUUUGCUAAACCCUCUCUUCUUUCUUGGAAUUCUGGCAAGCACCAUUUGUCUUCUUUGAGGGCCAUUGGUUCCAUCUGCUUCCAGGGACCCUCAGAGUCCCUGGUCUGUAGCUCUGACGAGGAUCUCUUAAUCUUUGCAACCUGUUGGUCCCUGUGGUGGGUGCCUGAGGUUCUGAUGGUCCCAUGUGGCCAUCUUCCCGGGACCCACCUCUGACUACAAGCCCAGGCCAGAGUGCAAGACGUGGUGUAGCCAGUCAGGGAUGGGGACGUGGCCAUGCUGUGGCCAGGCCGGCAGCUGGCAGGGCAAGCCUGGCCCCUGGGCCCCAUGUGGCUCCCUCCAUUGCCCCCUACAGCUCCAGGGUGAUCUGGAACAAGCUCUGCUCUCCACACCACUUCUUUCACUUUCUGGUCAGCUCGCUUCCCCCAUUUCACAUCAGCCAGCAUGCUUGUCAAGAGAAAGUUAAUUAAAAACAUAUUUUUCUAAUUAAAUGGUAGGCUAUGCUGUUCGAACAGUGCAACUCUUGUUUAGAGCCAGUCCCUCCCUGUUGCCAGGGCAACCCAGGACCCAGCAGAGCAACAGCGCACAGCCAACGGCGCACAGGGACACGCGCCCAGCACAGCCGGGCGCACGCAGCUGGCGGGCCUCCGGGCAGGCAGGCCUGGCGCCCACCCAGCUUUGCCCCCACACGCCCUCUGCAUCCCCAAGAGGCUGCCCAUGUGACCACAGACUGGCGCCCCAUCAAGGCCCCAACAGCUCAGGGGGUCUUGUAUCCCUGGACUUCUGCCAGCACCUUCUUUGCCCUGCACCCUGUGUGCCACGUCCAGCCCCAAGGGCUCUGCUGCCAGCCUGUCACUCGCUCAGGUUCUGGAGGUAUUGCCUAGCUUGGGGGCACUCACGCCCUGGGCCUGCACUAGAAUUCAGUUGGCAUCCGUUCCUCCUGAUUUGUUGAGAAUGUUUACUUCCUAUAAUUCCUUCAUGUGCCAUAUUUUUCAGAUUUCUUAGCGCUAAGAAUAUUUCAUGUUUGAAACGAAUUUGUGAGCUUGCUUCUCUGUCUGUCACCUGGAUAGCCCAGGAUUCUCAGAAUGAACUGAACUGUGCUGUAAACUCUGCAGAGUACCUGUCGUCCUAAAUAAUACGCUUCGAUUCCCUCUUGGACCCUUCCUCUGCCCUCAUCCUCUCCCUACUAACUCCCUGUGAAUCAGGGCUUGUCUUUAGGGAGUUGCCAUCCUGCGUGUGUGAGUGUGUGGACUCAGACAUCCACAGCCUGCUGUGCCCUGGGACUGGAGGUUGGUCGCAGGCACCUUGUGCAUGCCACCAACUGUCACAGUCCCAGCCUCUGUCCUCGACCUGAAAGCGUUUUGUUCCCUCACUGGGACGUGCUUGCAGUCUCGUGUCAUUUCUCUUGUUUUUUCUAGUUUAUUCAUUUCAGCUUCUAUCACUAUAACUUUCUCUUCUUUUUUUCUAAUUUCUUAAUGGAACACAAGACUUAUUCACCUUCGGGCUUUCUCUCUCUGUUCCAAGAACGUUUAAUGUUAUUGAAUUUUCCCUUGCUGUGGUUUGAUAUGUAUACCGUAGGUUUUUGAUGUGAAGUCUCCCCCUUUUUACCAGUUUCUCAGAGGUUCUGUUUUCACCUAUUCCUUAAUCCAAAGGUAAUCUCUCUGUGCUCCUAUCUAGCACUGGGGACGGUGGCCUUCUGGGUGGCCUUCUGGGUGGCUCUAGUCUCUCCACUGGGCCUCUUCGCUGGCUGCCUGCUGCCCACAGUUUUGGUUUGGUUUUGUCUAUUUGUCUGUGGUGUGUUUAGAGUGAGCUGGUCAGGCUGAUUGCAGUGCAUGGGGAGAAUAAAUGUUAGUGAUCUGGCAGGAAAGUUUAAGAAAGAACAGUGAAGCUGGCUGCAUGGUAUGGACAGAGGCAUGGACAGCAGAUCCAGAGGUGGCCUGUCUGCCAUAAUCUGGGCUCCCAUACAGUAAACUGAGACUUGUUCCUGCAUCUAAGGGCUUCCUGAGCCAAUUCUGUACUAUGUGGUCCAGGUAAGACCAGACCUUCACCUGCACUGAGCCCAGGAGAUGUAUGCCAGUGGACAAUGGGACUGGCCGUGUCACUGGUGGACACAAAGGCAUUGUACUGAGGACCUGACUCCCAGGGCCCAGGGUUUGGAUUCAGGGUAUGGGCGGCCUGCUCUGUCCUUCCUCAUGCAGCCAAGGGACAUUGAGUGGGGACCUCUGUCCCCUGAUAUGCUUGAGCCAACUUAGCCUCCACCCAGUGCAGGGUCCUUGGAAGACUUCCUCAUUUCCAUGGCCCCCUGGGACACCUUGGGGCCCCCAGCUUCCGCCACUGUCCUCUCAUCUUUCUUAGUUUCCACAAGAGUCCUGAGGCUGCACUGUGCCCUUGGUCUUCAGGGCACACUUGUGGGAAACUGAGCCCAGAAUGAUUCUGUCCCAAGCCUAGCUCCUCCCACUCAGGCUCCCAGUGGGCACCCUAGGGCCUGAGACACUAUUGCUCAGUUCGGGGCAGGGCUGGGAUUCCCUCUUUCCUGCGGCUGCGUAAGCCCUCAGGCCGCAGAAUCCAUGGAGCUGCUUUGCCUACCUGCCUGUUGCUCAGGGUCAGGAUUCAGAGCCAAAGGGACAUGGGUGGCCCCACCCACACAGUGAGGCCCAGGGUGCCUGGCAGGGUGAACCACUCAGCUACGAUGGUUAAUCUGAAUUCCAUAAAUUCUAGUCAUUACGGAGGAGCAUGAUGCUUCGUGUAAUUGGUUUGGGGCCUCUUAAAACUACCAUGAAAUAUUUAAGCUACAUUGGAAGGAAACAUCUGCUUUUCUGCUGGGAAAUGUAUAGCGGUAAAAAACUAUAAUUUUCAAACUUGUACGGAAGAGUGAAACAUGGAAAUCUUAGGUCCCCCUUUCUCUUGCUAUAAGUAAUAGCGUGUCAGGUAUUUUAGAGAGUGCUCAGGGAGCCCACCCAGGCUCCCCCAUCCAGCCUGGUGCUGGAGGCUCUGUCUACUGCAGCCCCUCUCAGUGGUGACAGUUGGGCGGGAAGCCCUAGAGUGCUUAGUGGCCAGGGCUUCCCAGACAGGCUGCUACCUCCCAUGAGGACCUUAUACUGUGUGUCCCAGAUUCCUAUAUACCACCUCCUGACCCACCUCAGCCCAGCUGCUGCCACCCAGCUCCUGUUCCCAACACCCUCAGCCCCCUGCAAAGGUCACCACCAUCUCCUAGUCCUCUGGUUCUGCAUCCCCUGCGCCCACUGCCAAGGUAACUGCCAUCUGCCAGUCUUCUGGGCCUGAGUCCCUGUGCGUUGGGGAUUGUGCACCCUCUGGCCUUGAGCUGUAGGCUCCUCUUGCUUCUCUGGCCUCCUGAUGCAGCCUUUCCUUCCUGACCAGCAGUGUCCUGGGCCUCAGGACUCAGAUGUCACCCACACCCAUUUCCACCUCCCCAUCACUGUCGAUGGCCCCAGACCCACCCAGUUCUUGAGCCACUGGGCCAGGCAGUGGGUAGGGAUGGGGAUCUAGAGGCCAGGAAGGCACAAGGAGAGGAGAGAAGGAUCCAGCCUGAGCCUCACUGGCUCUGUGAGCCUAGAGACCUCUUCAGAGGUCUUUGCUCUAAGGCCCAGACCCUGAGGGCUGAGAGCAGGGGGACAUGCACCAUGCAUCUCCUGAACCGGCUCUGGAGACCCUGCAGCCCACCCACUGCCCACACCAGGCCCUACUGGCCACCUAAUAGGCUUCCUGUCACUGAGGCCCAGCUCUGGCUUUCCAGAAGUCCACACCCCUCAUGUCACCUUAAGGGCACAAGCUGGUAUUUUGUUGUUGCUAUUGUUUUUUGUUUUAUUGCACCUCAGCCCUUUCUAUUUUUAAUUUUGAGACCAGGUCUCAUUAAGUUGCCCGGGUCAGGCUCAAACCUUCAAUCUUCCUGCCUCAGCCUCCCUGAGUGUAAGGGGGACAGAUGUGUGCCACUGCACCCAACCGUGCAACCCAGCUACUCAGCCUGGCCACCCUGUCAUUGACAGUGUCCUUGCUGUUCACUUCCCAGCAAUCCUACUGCAACAACCCCAGUCUGGGCACAGAGGCCUGUGUCUCCUCCCCCAGGAACAACUGGACGCACAGCUCUAGGCCCUCGAGGAAAGCAGAAUGCAACUGAGCUGGAGCAGCAGCCCCAUGGCCCAUCAAUGAGGACAGAGCGGGAGGAGCUGGCAGCCAAGAAGGGGCAGCUGGGCCAGUCCCUGAUCAGCCUACACCAGGAUGUGGACGGAGUCCUGCAACAGAAUCAGCAGCUACAGGCCCAGCUACAGGCCACACAGGUCCUGGCAUCCCAAGAGCAGACCCACCAGCAUCGAAUGAAGGGGCUGGAGGUGCAG